rnacentral:rRNA from 1 species
GAACUUAAGCAUAUCAAUAAGCGGAGGAAAAGAAACCAACAGGGAUUGCUUCAGUAACGGCGAGUGAAGCGGCAACAGCUCCAAUUUGAAAUCUGACUUCGGUCCGAGUUGUAAUUUGCAGAGGGAAUUUGGAAAACGACACUGGCUUAAGUCCCUUGGAACAGGGCGUCAUAGAGGGUGAGAAUCCCGUAUGUGGCCAGAGGUCAAUUUCAUGUCAAAUCCCUUCGACGAGUCGAGUUGUUUGGGAAUGCAGCUCAAAAUGGGUGGUAAAUUUCAUCUAAAGCUAAAUACCGGCCAGAGACCGAUAGCGCACAAGUAGAGUGAUCGAAAGAUGAAAAGCACUUUGGAAAGAGAGUUAAAUAGUACGUGAAAUUGUUGAAAGGGAAGCGCUUGCCAUUAGACCGAUUUCAUCGAUUGCAGUUCGGAGACCCCUCUGGACGUGACGCACCGGUAUUUCGGCCAGCAUCGGUUUGGGUGGUGUGACAAAGACGUGCAGAACGUGGCUCCUUCGGAGUGUUAUAGCUGUGCGUGUAAUGGCCCCUACCUGGACCGAGGACCGCGCUUCGGCUUAGGAUGCUGGCGUAAU